UAUAACAAUGUUGGUAAGGGAAGUUGGCAAGUCAGAUAUGUAACUUCGGAAUAAGGAUUGGCUGUAAGGGCCGGGUCGGUCAGUCGGCUGGGGUGUGAAGCAGGGCUGGGAUUGAGCCGCGGCUGGGCGAGCAGUCGCUCCGUCGCCCUCCUCUCGCCACUUUUGGAAGUUCGUGGUGCGGCCCAUCUCGCGGUGUGUGGUGUUGCAAGGGGCUGUAUGAGGGGGUUUGUCGGGGUGGUGUCUGUCAGCGGCCGAAGGCGGACCUGGGGGUGGUUGGGGUAGUGGAGAUGGCAUGUGCCUUACCAUUAGCUGACACAACCAGGCCUCAGGCUUGCCUGAGUGCGGGCCACCACACAUUGUAGGUGGGUAGAGACUAUACCCAGUGAUAGGGCAUUGCAUAGGUCUGGCUCAUGCCCUACAAAGUGGGGAGAGGUAUCUCCAGCUUGUCUGGAGAGGGAGGCCUACAUCUGAUGUGGGUAGUACCAUCCACACCCAUUGAUUUUCUGCGGAGCCAUAAAAUGGACGGAAGAAGCAUAGGUUCCUGCUGGGCAUGGAUCACUGAAUGUCAACUUGAUGAAAUUCAAAGGAGCAUACCCACCUGUAGUAAUCCUGCUCAGUAGGAGAGGAACCGCAGGUUCAGACAUUUGGUGUAAGUACUUGGCUGAGGAGCCAAUGGUGCGAAGCUACCAUCUGUGGGAUUAUGACUGAACGCCUCUAAGUCAGAAUCCCCCCUAAACGUAACGAUAACGUAGCGCAGCAGAUCUUCGGUUGGCCCGGGAUAGCAUGCCUCUUUUGGCAGGUGAGUAGAGCCGUUUGUGAGGGGGUUGGGGUGCGGCCGGAUGAGUUGCCGCCCUCUCCUGAUGCGUACCGCAUGUUUGUGGGGAACCUGGUGCUAAAUCACUUGUAGAUUACCUGACUCUGGGUCAAUGUGUUGUAUGUAGCAGAGCAGCUCACUCACUGCGAUCUAUUGAAAGUCAGCCCUCGAUCCAAGAUUU
rnacentral:ncRNA from 1 species